GCGCUCACUUCUGCAGCACAUGAUCUAAAACUGGAACAGGAGAGACCGGCACGGCCCCUGAGCACGGAUGACACGCAAAUUCGCGAAGCAGUCCAUAUUUUU
rfam:Pteropus alecto contig1916, whole genome shotgun sequence.